rnacentral:rRNA from 1 species
AACGAACGCUGGCGGCGUGCUUAACACAUGCAAGUCGAACGCGAAAGGGGGCAACCCCGAGUAGAGUGGCGCACGGGUGAGUAACACGUGAGUAAUCUGCCCUUGAGUGGGGGACAACGUUCCGAAAGGAGCGCUAAUACCGCAUAACCCGGUAGGGACCCAGGUCCCGGCCGGCAAAGAUGGCCUCUGCUUGCACGCUAUCGCUUAAGGAGGAGCUUGCGCCCCAUUAGGUAGUUGGCGAGGUAAUGGCUCACCAAGCCUACGAUGGGUAGCCGGCCUGAGAGGGUAACCGGCCACACUGGCACUGAGACACGGGCCAGACUCCUACGGGAGGCUG